UACCCAAGGACAUGUAAUGCCAGGAGUAACCCAGCCCCAUGGCGCAGACACACACGCGCACACACACACGCACACACACGACACCCCAACGCUCCAACUCAUACUCAUUGCAUCCCACACAAAACCCACACCAUCUCCCCCCCACACACACAGGCCACCGCAUUCCCGUGUGCCCAGUCACACACGCAGGGAGUGCCCCCUCGCAUUCUCUCACUUCCCCAGUGUGCCCGGCCCACACCCCACACCGCCGGCAGACUGCAGCCUAGCCUGAAGCUGGAAGCUGGUGCGGACUGGUUUUUGUUGUAUGUAACAAAGCCCCAUGCACCCAGGUGCCCCGCUGGAUCGGCUCCAUCCAUCUCUCCCCGCCCCCAUCCACGAGCUCCCAGAACAAGAGAAAGCUCAGCUCUGGGAAGUGGAUGCGGGGAGUGGGGGUGCAGAGAAAGAGAGCUUGAGGGGUGGGCGGGGGGCGGGAGUGCGGGCAGCUUCGGGGCGCCCUCGCCACGAAGCCACAAGGACGGCCAACUGCCAAAGGGACCGGGGCUGCCCUCCCAGCCCAUCGCACGCCGUCGAUGCCUAGAAAAAGACCCAACGCGGAGAGAUAAUCGCCCCCCGCGCCCGCCGCGUGCCCUCCCGGCGGCUCCGGGAGCCAGCGGCGCUCCGACUGUCCGCAACAAAGCGCCCCCCGCACAGACCUGUUCCAGGCUCCCCGGGCGGCCCGAGCGCAGGCGGCCGCUGCUGAGGGUUCUGCCCUUCGCCGCGGCGGACGGGAGGAGGAGCAGGAACUGGGGGAGGAACGAGGACGAGAGGGGAGCGGAGACCGCGGUGGCGGCGGUGGCGGCGGCGGCGGCGGCGGCAGGAGGAGGAGGAGGAGGAGGAAGAGGAGGAGGAGGAGGAGGAGGAGGUUGCGUCUGCGGCCGCCGCCGAGGAUGCUCGCGAGGGAGGCAGGGCGGUGCGCUCGGGGCGUGGGCUCACGUGCGCCCCGCGGCCCCGGGCUGCGCGCGCGGCUGGGUGUGUGAGAGCAUCUGGUCUUCCUUCUGGGCGCCGGUGGCUUGCCGCCGCACACAUCUCUGGAAAGCCUACGGCCAAAGAGAAUAA
rnacentral:lncRNA from 1 species